rnacentral:rRNA from 1 species
AUUGAACGCUGGCGGCAUGCCUUACACAUGCAAGUCGAACGGUAACAGGUCUUCGGAUGCUGACGAGUGGCGAACGGGUGAGUAAUACAUCGGAACGUGCCCGAUCGUGGGGGAUAACGAAGCGAAAGCUUUGCUAAUACCGCAUACGAUCUACGGAUGAAAGCAGGGGACCGCAAGGCCUUGCGCGAACGGAGCGGCCGAUGGCAGAUUAGGUAGUUGGUGGGAUAAAAGCUUACCAAGCCGACGAUCUGUAGCUGGUCUGAGAGGACGACCAGCCAAACUGGGACUGAGACACGGCCCAGAAUCCUACGGGAGGCAGCAGUGGGGAAUUUUGGACAAUGGGCGAAAGCCUGAUCCAGCCAUGCCGCGUGCAGGAUGAAGGCCUUCGGUUGUAAACUGCUUUUGUACGGAACGAAAAGACUCUGGUUAAUACCUGGGGUCCAUGACGGUACCGUAAGAAUAAGCACCGGCUAACUACGUGCCAGCCGCCGCCGUAA